rnacentral:rRNA from 1 species
AGAGAAUAGAUACCCCGGUAGUCCACGCUGUAAACGAUGGGAACUAGGCUUGGCGGGAUUUGACCCCUGCCGAGCCGGAGCUAAACGCGAUAAGUUCCCCGCCUGGGAAGUACGGUCGCAAGACUAAAACUCAAAGGAAUUGACGGGGGCCCGCACAAGCGGUGGAUCAUGUGGUUUAAUUCGAAAGCAACGCGAAGAACCUUACCUGGGUUUGACAUCUCCGGACAUCCAUAGAGAUAUGGCUUUCGUAGCAAUACGACCGGAAGACAGGUGCUGCAUGGCUGUCGUCAGCUCGUGUGGUGACAUGUUGGGUUAAGUCCCGCAACGAGCGCAACCCUUGUCUUUAGUUGCCAGCAUUCAGUUGGGCUCUCUAAA